UAAACAUUGACAGCACAAUACAUAGGCUGUCCGCCUGGAGAUUACGAGCAGUAGCUUAAAACUCAAAGGACUUGGCGGUGCUUAACAUCCAUCUAGAGGAGCCUGUUCUAGAACCGAUAAUCCCCGUUCAACCUCACCCUCUCUUGUUCCUUCCCGCCUAUAUACCGCCGUCGUCAGCUUACCUUGUGAAAGACUAAUAGUAAGCAAAAUUGGCUCAGCCCAAAACGCCAGGUCGAGGUGUAGCGUAUGAGAGGGGAAGAAAUGGGCUACAUUCACUAAAAUAGUGAAUACGGAUAAUGUACUGAAAUAAUACAUUUGAAGGAGGAUUUAGCAGUAAGCAGAAAACAGAGUGUUCUGCUGAAGAUGGCACUAAAGCGCGCACAUACCGCCCGUCACUCUCUCCGAGCACUAAAAAUACAAAUAACUAAUGCCCUACAACUGCAAAGGAGAGGCAAGUCGUAACAUGGUAAGUGUACCGGAAGGUGCACUUGGAAAAAU
rnacentral:rRNA from 1 species